rnacentral:rRNA from 4 species
UUAAGCGACUAAGCGUACACGGUGGAUGCCCUGGCAGUCAGAGGCGAUGAAGGACGUGCUAAUCUGCGAUAAGCGUCGGUGAGGUGAUAUGAACCGUUAUAACCGGCGAUUUCCGAAUGGGGAAACCCAGUGUGUUUCGACACACUAUCAUUAACUGAAUCCAUAGGUUAAUGAGGCGAACCGGGGGAACUGAAACAUCUAAGUACCCCGAGGAAAAGAAAUCAACCGAGAUUCCCCCAGUAGCGGCGAGCGAACGGGGAGGAGCCCAGAGCCUGAAUCAGUGUGUGUGUUAGUGGAAGCGUCUGGAAAGGCGUGCGAUACAGGGUGACAGCCUCGUACACAAAAAUGCACAUAUUGUGAGCUCGAUGAGUAGGGCGGGACACGUGGUAUCCUGUCUGAAUAUGGGGGGACCAUCCUCCAAGGCUAAAUACUCCUGACUGACCGAUAGUGAACCAGUACCGUGAGGGAAAGGCGAAAAGAACCCCGGCGAGGGGAGUGAAAAAGAACCUGAAACCGUGUACGUACAAGCAGUGGGAGCCUCUUAAUGGGGUGACUGCGUACCUUUUGUAUAAUGGGUCAGCGACUUAUAUUCUGUAGCAAGGUUAACCGAAUAGGGGAGCCGAAGGGAAACCGAGUCUUAACUGGGCGUUAAGUUGCAGGGUAUAGACCCGAAACCCGGUGAUCUAGCCAUGGGCAGGUUGAAGGUUGGGUAACACUAACUGGAGGACCGAACCGACUAAUGUUGAAAAAUUAGCGGAUGACUUGUGGCUGGGGGUGAAAGGCCAAUCAAACCGGGAGAUAGCUGGUUCUCCCCGAAAGCUAUUUAGGUAGCGCCUCGUGAAUUCAUCUCCGGGGGUAGAGCACUGUUUCGGCAAGGGGGUCAUCCCGACUUACCAACCCGAUGCAAACUGCGAAUACCGGAGAAUGUUAUCACGGGAGACACACGGCGGGUGCUAACGUCCGUCGUGAAGAGGGAAACAACCCAGACCGCCAGCUAAGGUCCCAAAGUCAUGGUUAAGUGGGAAACGAUGUGGGAAGGCCCAGACAGCCAGGAUGUUGGCUUAGAAGCAGCCAUCAUUUAAAGAAAGCGUAAUAGCUCACUGGUCGAGUCGGCCUGCGCGGAAGAUGUAACGGGGCUAAACCAUGCACCGAAGCUGCGGCAGCGACACUAUGUGUUGUUGGGUAGGGGAGCGUUCUGUAAGCCUGUGAAGGUGGCCUGUGAGGGUUGCUGGAGGUAUCAGAAGUGCGAAUGCUGACAUAAGUAACGAUAAAGCGGGUGAAAAGCCCGCUCGCCGGAAGACCAAGGGUUCCUGUCCAACGUUAAUCGGGGCAGGGUGAGUCGACCCCUAAGGCGAGGCCGAAAGGCGUAGUCGAUGGGAAACAGGUUAAUAUUCCUGUACUUGGUGUUACUGCGAAGGGGGGACGGAGAAGGCUAUGUUGGCCGGGCGACGGUUGUCCCGGUUUAAGCGUGUAGGCUGGUUUUCCAGGCAAAUCCGGAAAACCAAGGCUGAGGCGUGAUGACGAGGCACUACGGUGCUGAAGUGACAAAUGCCCUGCUUCCAGGAAAAGCCUCUAAGCAUCAGGUAACAUCAAAUCGUACCCAAAACCGACACAGGUGGUCAGGUAGAGAAUACCAAGGCGCUUGAGAGAACUCGGGUGAAGGAACUAGGCAAAAUGGUGCCGUAACUUCGGGAGAAGGCACGCUGAUAUGUAGGUGAAGCGACUUGCUCGUGGAGCUGAAAUCAGUCGAAGAUACCAGCUGGCUGCAACUGUUUAUUAAAAACACAGCACUGUGCAAACACGAAAGUGGACGUAUACGGUGUGACGCCUGCCCGGUGCCGGAAGGUUAAUUGAUGGGGUUAGCGGUAACGCGAAGCUCUUGAUCGAAGCCCCGGUAAACGGCGGCCGUAACUAUAACGGUCCUAAGGUAGCGAAAUUCCUUGUCGGGUAAGUUCCGACCUGCACGAAUGGCGUAAUGAUGGCCAGGCUGUCUCCACCCGAGACUCAGUGAAAUUGAACUCGCUGUGAAGAUGCAGUGUACCCGCGGCAAGACGGAAAGACCCCGUGAACCUUUACUAUAGCUUGACACUGAACAUUGAGCCUUGAUGUGUAGGAUAGGUGGGAGGCUUUGAAGUGUGGACGCCAGUCUGCAUGGAGCCGACCUUGAAAUACCACCCUUUAAUGUUUGAUGUUCUAACGUUGGCCCGUAAUCCGGGUUGCGGACAGUGUCUGGUGGGUAGUUUGACUGGGGCGGUCUCCUCCUAAAGAGUAACGGAGGAGCACGAAGGUUGGCUAAUCCUGGUCGGACAUCAGGAGGUUAGUGCAAUGGCAUAAGCCAGCUUGACUGCGAGCGUGACGGCGCGAGCAGGUGCGAAAGCAGGUCAUAGUGAUCCGGUGGUUCUGAAUGGAAGGGCCAUCGCUCAACGGAUAAAAGGUACUCCGGGGAUAACAGGCUGAUACCGCCCAAGAGUUCAUAUCGACGGCGGUGUUUGGCACCUCGAUGUCGGCUCAUCACAUCCUGGGGCUGAAGUAGGUCCCAAGGGUAUGGCUGUUCGCCAUUUAAAGUGGUACGCGAGCUGGGUUUAGAACGUCGUGAGACAGUUCGGUCCCUAUCUGCCGUGGGCGCUGGAGAACUGAGGGGGGCUGCUCCUAGUACGAGAGGACCGGAGUGGACGCAUCACUGGUGUUCGGGUUGUCAUGCCAAUGGCACUGCCCGGUAGCUAAAUGCGGAAGAGAUAAGUGCUGAAAGCAUCUAAGCACGAAACUUGCCCCGAGAUGAGUUCUCCCUGACUCCUUGAGAGUCCUGAAGGAACGUUGAAGACGACGACGUUGAUAGGCCGGGUGUGUAAGCGCAGCGAUGCGUUGAGCUAACCGGUACUAAUGAACCGUGAGGCUUAACCUU